rnacentral:tRNA from 1 species
GAUUAAAUGGCUGAAUUUAGGCAAUAGACUGUAAAUCUAUUUAUGAGAUUUUUUCUCUUUAAUCAUU